GCCGGGCGCUGACCUGCGGGGGAGUCCCGAGUCCUCCAAGUGCCCCCGGGGGUGGGGGAGCGGCCUUGGCCGCGCUCUCGGCUCGGGCAGCGCAACGCGGAAGUACCACCUUCGUCGCCGCUUCACUCCAUCGCGCCCUGACGUUGGGUGCAAGUUCAGGGGAGGGGAGUGGGCGAGACAACAACACGCCUCCACCGCCUCCUCCUCGGCGUCGACGUCGUCCUCCUGUGGUGGCGGCGACACACCGCAGGCGCCUCGGAAGUGGCCUGGGCCUGACAACAACUCCCGGCCUAGGGCCUCGCGCACUCUGCGGCCCGCGGGGCUGGGCAGCGGGGCGGGGCGAGGCGGGGGCGACCGGGCUGCGGCUCUCGGUUGGGGCAGCGACUGUGCGGGGCUGGGCGGGGGGCUAUUUCCGGGGAGAUGGGGGCAGGGGCGUUUCUGAGUCUGUGGCGGUAGGUACGGGCCCUGACUUUCUUCUUCUUUCGCCGCCGCCGCCGCCGCCAGCAGAGGUGGCGGAGCUACCCCUUUCCUCCGCUCCCCCCCUCCACGAGGAGGCUCCUGGUGUGCGCGGCCUGCCCCGGCUCGCUCCUCCCCUUCCCUCUCCGCUCCUCGUCAGGAGGAGGGAGAGCAACGGGACUUGCUGGUUGGGCCCUAACCUCCACAACCCCUCCUUCUCGCCUCGCUCUUUCGGCUUUUCCCCUCAGCCCUGACGUACGACCGGGAGCGCGCCCGCAAUUCACGCUCAGAGAAAGCCGAAGAUGAGAGGUGGCCGGGGCAAGAGAGGCGGGAACAAAGUUACCGCGCACUGGCGUGCUCGCUCCCGCCAGGGGCCGGCAGGCCGCACCGGAAGUGGCAUGAUGUAGAAACCGCUCGGCUUCCGGCGAGGGUGGGACUCCGUGUGAAGAAGGGUUAAAGAAAGGAGAGGAUUCGUGUGCCGCCCACUGCUGUUGCUUGAGACUCUGCCCGUGGUGGCGCGCCUGUCGUGCUUGUUGCUUGCGUCCAGCGCGCAGUGCCGGUUCCGGCUCUGCAGACGCCGCACUGCCUGCCUGUUGAGCGAAAGGUCACAGUGAGAACAAGUGUUUCUGGAGACUGCGAGGGAAAUAAUGCUGUUGGUGGCCUUCUGGAGUAGGCAGUUACCCCCCGUGUACCUUCAGUCAAGCCCUGGGAGUGGAACAGCUGCGAAAGGAGAGAAAACACCCCGCAAAACAGGGUGGAGAUGGCGUUGGUUUAACUUGUCUCACGUACGCCAAAGUUCGAGGCCCCAUUUUUUUUUUUUUUUUUUUUGAGACUGAGUUUCGCUCUCGUUGCCCAGGCUGGAGUGCAAUGGUGCGAUCUCGGCUCACCGCAACUUCCGCGAGGCCCCUUCUUAUCCUAAAAAACACACUUGGGAAUCACAGCUCAAGCUUCGGUAACACUAUUUACUUUAAAAUAAAAAUUUUUAAAGCUUUAAAUCAAUACAGGAAAUAAGUGGAAUGUUAAAAGGAACUACUGAAAAUUCCAAAUUCUCAGGAGGCUUGAAAUAAAAACAUCUUGUGCGAAUGAGGACUGCCCUCUUAGUACUUCACCCACUUUCACCUUCAUAUCUAAACCUUUGGGGUUGCCAAACAUAGCCAUAUAGUGACCUCACAUCUCAUUUCUUGCCUUAGAAUUGCCCUUCAGUUACAGACUAAGCACUCGGGAUAAUUAGAUUAAAAUGUAAAUGGCUUAUUGGCUUUUAGAAUGGUUGGAAACGCAAGCUAACCCUGUGCAGUGGCACACGCCUGUAGUCCCAGCUACUCCGGAGGCUGAGGCAGGAGGAUCUCUGGAGCUCAAGAGUUCGAGGCUGGAGUGAGCCAUGACCGUGCCACAGCACCCCAGCCUGGCCAAUCAGCAGGGCGAGGCCCUGCCUCUAAUAAAAGAAAAAGCUAAGCCGUCUGUUCAAUGACUAAAUGUAGUAACCCCUUUGAAAAUUCAUUUGUUCA
rnacentral:lncRNA from 1 species